rnacentral:rRNA from 1 species
AAUCAACGCUGGCGGCGUGCCUCAGACAUGCAAGUCGAACGAUUAAGACUUCCUUCGGGAAGUGUAUAAAGUGGCGCACGGGUGAGUAACACGUAAGUAAUCUGCCUUCGAGUGGGGAUACCUUCGGGAAACCGAAGAUAAUACCGCAUAAUGCAGCGGCACCGCAAGGUGACAGUUGUUAAAGGAGCAAUCCGCUUGAAGAGGAGCUUGCGGCAGAUUAGCAGUUGGUAGGUAACGGCUUACCAAGGCUACGAUCUGUAUCGGUCUAAGAGGACGGUCGGACACACUGACACUGAAUAACGGGUCAGACUCCUACGGGAGGCAGCAGUCGGGAAUUUUGGGCAAUGGGCGAAAGCCUGACCCAGCAACGCCGCGUGAAGGAUGAAGUAUUUCGGUAU